UGUUUUUUCCUGCAGUUUAUUAGUGUAUUUUCCUGUAGUUUAUUAGUGUAUUUUUCCUCUAGGUGUUUCUUGAAAGAAUUGCCUGGCCUGCCCUCAAUGAGGUGGAUGAUGGCUGCUCUCGAGUCUAAAUGCUGUACAACAGGCUUCUUCAGGACAGUCAUUGAAAAUGGGAUCAUUCAAUUCAUUCAUCAUUUCUAGCAACCCCAAGAGUUGUGCUUGAUCUCCUCAAGUUCUGGGUUGGAUGGGAGGUCCUCCCGAAGGAGCUGUCUGUUGAGGUCCCAGAUACCAAACUGCCCAAAGCAUCCACCUGCUUCGAAACCAUCAAGCUACUCAGCCGCUGCUUUGACUACUCGUCAUUCUCCCAAGAUGUCAUCACAUGGACCUGCAUGGACCACUCAAACUACAUUUCCCAGCAUCCUCCUGCU